GAAAUGCGAUAAGUAAUGUGAAUUGCAGAAUUCAGUGAAUCAUCGAAUCUUUGAACGCACCUUGCGCUCCCUGGUAUUCCUUGGAGCAUGCCUGUUUGAGUAUCAUGAAGUCUUCAAAGUAAAUCUUUUGUUAACUCAAUUGGUUUCUACUUUGGUAUUGGAGGUCUUUGCAGCUUCACACCUGCUCCUCUUUGUUCAUUAGCUGGAUCUCAGUGUUAUGCUUGGUUCCACUCGGCGUGAUAAGUUAUCUAUCGCUGAGGACACUGUAAAAGGUGGCCAAGGUAAAUGCAGAUGAACCGCUUCUAAUAGUCCAUUGACUUGGACAAUACUUUUAUGAUCUGAUCUCAAAUCAGGUAGGACUACCCGCUGAACUUAAGC
rnacentral:misc_RNA from 1 species